rnacentral:rRNA from 1 species
AGCUGGAAUCGCUAGUAAUCGCGAAUCAGAAUGUCGCGGUGAAUACGUUCCCGGGUCUUGUACACACCGCCCGUCACACCAUGGGAGUCGGAUAUGCCCGAAGCCGGUGACCUAACCGCAAGGAAGGAGCCGUCGAAGGUGGAGCCGAUGACUGGGGUGAAGUCGUAACAAGGUACC